GAGAAUAAUACAUGGCAAAAUCCGUAUCAUAUGUCGUAUCAUCCCGAGACAUCAAUAUCAGCCCAAGGGCCUUUAGGCCCGAGGGAUGAUAUUGGUCGAGGGUGAUACGGCAUGUGAUACGGAUUUUGCCAUGUAUUAUACGCUUUAUCAUAUAUUUCAACAGAAGAGUAUUAUAUUAUAUGAACUGUUUUCUGAUCCCGAUAGAUUAGCACUGGGUUACCUUCAGUUCUGCUUUUGUCUUGGUUCAAAGCCUUAAAAUAACUGCUUAUACAAAGCACCUGGGUUACCUUACCAUUUGCCUGCUGCUGUUUUAAAAAUAUUUUGUUUAUUAUUGUAUUUAUUUGAGUGUUUUGUAUUUUUUAUAGUUGCAUUAGUGUGCCAAAAAAAUAUGCAAACUUGAUGUUCGUGACGUCACAUACAAUAUGAAAACUUGACGUUCGUGACGUUACAUACCAAACAAUGACGUCAUUAAAAAAAUGACCUAUUUUGAGGAAAUUUUUUCUUAAGCAAAAAUAAACAAAAAACUUUAUGUAAAAAAAAAAAAAAAAAAAAAAAAAAGGUAUGCGAUACGGGUUUUACCAUGCGAUACGGGGUAUGCGAUACGGGUUUAGCUAUGCAAUACGGGGUAUGCGAUACAGGGUAGGUGAUACAGACUGGAAAAACAACCUUUAUUAGAUAUACAAAAUAGCUGUAUUUUGUACUAAAUAUAUGAUAAAUAAAAUUAAAACA
rnacentral:lncRNA from 1 species